rnacentral:rRNA from 1 species
GAUGAACGCUGGCGGCGUGCCUAACACAUGCAAGUCGAACGGAAAGGCCCAAGCUUGUUUGGGUACCGGAGUGGCGAACGGGUGAGUAACAGGAGGGCGAUCUGCUCUGCACUUUGGGAUAAGCUUGGGAAACUGGGCUUACUAUAGGAUAGCAUAGUGGCUUGGAUGCCAUUGUGGAAAGCUUCUUCGGUGUGGGAUGAGCUUGCGGCCUAUUAGCUUGUUGGUGGGGUAAUGGUCUACCAGGGCGUCGACGGGUAGCCGGCCUGAGGGAGUGUACGACGGCAUUGAGACUGAGGGACGGCCCAGACUCCUACGAGAGGCAGCAGUGGGAAAUAUUGCACAAUGCACGCAAGCCUGAUGCAGCAGCGCCGCGUGGUGUAUAACGUCCUUCGGGUUGUAGACACCUUUCACUAGAAUCCAAGCGUUAUGUGACGGUACCUAAAGAAGAAGCACCGGCUAACUACGUG